GUGCACCAGUCGAGAAAACUUCACAAUGGGGGAAACCCCGAUGAGGGAAUUCCAAGUGCCAGCACAUUGUGUUGGCUGUUCUCUGGUCUAAAAAACCGGAGAAGUAAGGGCCGGGUAAGACGGGUGCCAGCCGCCGCGGUAAUACCCGCGGCCCGAGUGGUGGUCGAUAUUAUUGAGCCUAAAACGUCCGUAGCCGGUUUUGUAAAUCCUUGGGUAAAUCGACCAGCUUAACUGUUCGAAGUCCGGGGAGACUGUAAGACUUGGGAUCGGGAGAGGUGAGAGGUACUUCUGGGGUAGGGGUAAAAUCCUGUAAUCCUAGAAGGACCACCGGUGGCGAAGGCGUCUCACUAGAACGAAUCCGACGGUGAGGGACGAAGCCCUGGGGCGCAAACGGGAUUAGAUACCCCGGUAGUCC
rnacentral:rRNA from 1 species